UCAUCGCCAUGCUCACCCUCAA
rnacentral:piRNA from 1 species